rnacentral:lncRNA from 1 species
AUGGGCUCUUCUGAGAUGGACGACGAUUUUUAUGGUCACAGCUCAAGAAACUCAUCAAAAUUAUCUCUGUAUGAUAGGAAAAGUUUAAAUCAAGAUUCAGAUACCGGUGUGGAUUUAAAUGAAAGCGUGACAUCAAACCAGUUAAGUCACAGUGCUGCACGACACAAAAUGGCAAUCAAACCAAAACGAACUCAUGGCGCACCACGAAGAAACAAGCCGUUGACGGUCGGAUCCAUUCUUCCCUCAACCCCAGAAUUAAAUGAAGAUAUCAGCAGUCGAAGCCUUUCGUCACAAGCUAGUGACUCAGGUAUAUAUCCAGCUUAUGAUUCAUCGCAUUUUGAACCAUCAGCUCACGAUUCUGACCAGCGGAAUUUUGCUGAAUCCUUCGAACCGCCUCCCCAGAGGCUAAUCAACUCCAAUAUUGGGAGUGUCAGAAGCUAUGUUCAGAUGCUAAACUACAAAAACAAAGCAGACAGAAAAACUUUUUACGACACCCAUCAUUUCAAUAAAAUGAUUUUGAACAAACUCCCGAAUCACAGUCAAGAAGAGGUCAACAAGUCUACUCUCGAACUGAAAAAAAUAAUCUCCAAGUUUGAAAAGAUCAGCAAUAAGCCAAAAGGUUUUGUGCCACUGAAAAACUCACAGUCUGAAAUAAACUUGUCCAAAAACUCUGACAAAGACUUCCAUAAACAUAUCGAUAGUUUUGAUUUGAGGAGGAGAGUUGUGAAUGAGUUUUCAGAGAUUUAUUUAAAUCAUAAUCAGUCAUUGCUGAAACACAAAUCUUACUCCGAUAUCCCGCAAGUAGUUUAUAACUUCACAAACAAAUCCCCGACUGUUGGUUCGUUACGAGUUCCAGCUAAAGACCGAACUAAUCCUCUCAAAGCCAUGACACUCGAAAAAAGUAAUUUUGAUAUGAGACCAAAUAAUUACUCACAUUCAAACAGAAAAAAGUCGAAAGUUGUGGACAGUGUGUUUGUUCAAGGAGAUAGGAAUACUGAUGCUGAGUUCAGGCUGCGACCUCUACCUUUCCCUGAUUAUUCUGAUCUGCAUAAGCUGGAAAGGUAUCAGUUUAAGAUCAUGAAUAAAGCUAAUGGCUCUGUCAAACUAGAGAUGAAUUCGCCAGAUGCUGAGCAAAUGAAACUGAUCAGGAGGAAUGGUGGAAUUAGGUACUGAAAUGAUGAGCACUGAUAGUUAUGCAGACCAUGACUGGUCAUAAUCAAAUGUAGGAGCUUCUUUCGGUUAGGAAUUCUGUCAAAGAAUGGUCAUCUUAAAAAAUUAUGAACAAAAUUAGGAGCAUAGAAAGAAAAACAGGACGUUUCAACGCAAUUGCGUUGGAGGGCGCUUCUCUCAGUGGCGGAAGGAAGUAAUAUAGUUGCCCAUACUUUUUCAGUCAAAUAAAUCAUAAAAGAAAACCAUAAGAAAAAUUCUUUCAGGCGAGGGAUCAAACCUUGACGUCUGGAGUUUAAGCCGGACGCAGAGGCACUCAGCCUUGCUAGAGGCGCUAUUAUGACGAGAGAAACUACAAUAUUGAACUAGAUAAUUGACUCAUAACACAGUGAAUGAGGAGGCGUGUUCAGAAAUUGCGUAAGCUCAUCGUCCACAUGCUUCACAGCUUUUCGAAGCUUCACCAUAGCGUCAUUUCAAUAAGAUUGGCCUUGAGGCAAAUUAAUAUUUGAAUUCUCAUGAAUUAAAUCAAUCAAUUUUUCAAUAUUAACGUCUGAUUUUGGCUUUUAUAGACGUAAUAGGUCCUCGAGUUAGGUUAGUCAAACUAUCUCCAACACAAGGUACUCUGAGUGUAAGAUUCAUUUAUUUCUAUCCAGCAGAGGCAAGUUGUUUAAAACAUGGAAAAGAUUUUUUAUUUAAGAAAAAUUAUUUCUAAGGACAAGCUAGGAUAUACUGCGUUUCCCAUUUUGUUAGAGUUCCUCUUCUUGCGUUUUUCUCACCUGCGCUGUAAUACUUCAGUAUGUAUGCUUCAUGUACGACAGACUAGGAAUAAGCACCUAAAUCUUUAAACAGGAGUACCUAUGGGACCCACCAUGAAAAUCUCACUUACUAUAUGUGGGUGAGCAGCUCUGUGUGACUCCUGAAUUAGAGUCUUGUUGGUACAUUUUAUACAUUAUUAUGGAAGAACAACUUCAGAUUCUGACACUCUCCCUCCCAUUCUUUGCUUGUCACCGUAUGUAUCGCUAUAAAUACUACGACAUUUUAUACAUUAUUAUGGAAGAACAACUUCAGAUUUUGACACUCUCCCUCCCAUUCUUUGCUUGUCAUUGAAUGUAUCGCAAUUUUAGAUCAGCUUUUUUCAUCCAUGAAUAUCCCAAGUAGCAAAAUAGAAUUUUUUCCUAGAACAAAAACAUUAAGAAAACUUCUAGAAAAUACCAAGAAAAUGAGAGUUAUCAAGAAAAUAGAAAGAAAAAACAUUACAAGUCAAAAGUCUGACCAAAGAAAAUAGAUCUUUUUCAUAGAUCUACUUUCUGUCAAUUUUCCAUUUGGAAAAAAGAUAGAAAAUUUAUUGAAAGUAGAAUUAUUUUCUAGCCAAUUUCUUAAUGUUUUCUUUUUAGAAAAUGCAAGGGGAAAAUGUAUUUUCUUUCUAUUUUCUUGUGUCUAUUUUCUAGAUCUACUUUAUACCUAUUUUCUCUCAAGAAAAUUGUUCUAUCUAGAAAGUAGACAUUUUCUUGAUGAGCGCCACCUAGAAAGUAGAUGACAAUGCUAUUUGGGUAUGCAAGAAUCCCAGACUGAGAGUUCAUUUGAGUAGAAGUGUAUUUCACCAAAGUUUGAAUUUGAUGCCAUGCCUUUUACUCUUUUCAGUAAGCCUGAAUUGGAGUAGAAAGUGCCGGCUUGAUACAAAUUAAGUCUAAAAUUACUCGCUGGAUUACUCAUUUGCACUCACAAAACCAUUAAAAAUAUGCGAUUUGGAGGUAUAUGAGCAGAAAUGAAAAUUUAAAUAUCUUUUUAGAGCGAGAAACUUUUGCAAAGGCUAAUGUGUAGAGUUUAUCCAUACAACUCUCAUUCUAAGUCACAAACAGUGUGCAGGGCUGCUUACUCCUCUUGUCCAAACAAAUCGAAUAAUUCACAAGGAUCAGUGAAUCAGCAAUGCAUGAAAAACCUUACUUAUUCUUGCUUUUUUAUCUCUAUGCUCUAUCUUUCUUGAAGUGAGUUUUUUUGCACUCAUCACGUUUUUUUGUUUGGUUUCAGUGAGCACCACUGCACAUGCCAAUCCCACCGAACCCUCAAAUGACACUCGAAUAAAGUCAGCAUCCCUGCCCACAGGAUUAUCUCCAGUCAGUUCUCGCAUUAAGUUAACGCGCAGUCGCUCUAAUGCAGCAUAUCUCAGUAGCGGCGAUAUUUUCGAAGAGGAUGAGGACUCUCAGCCGCAGAAAAAGGACGAUUCUAACUCAUUCUUUGGUCGUCUCCUGUCACGUCGUAGUGGUAAGAAGAAGA